GCUCGAGUAGUCUAGUGGUUAUGAUGUCUGCUUUACACGCAGAAGGUCCUCGGUUCAAACCCGAGCUUGAGCA